GUGCCAGCCGCCGCGGUAAUACCGGCAGCCCAAGUGAUGGCCGAUAUUAUUGGGCCUAAAGCGUCCGUAGCUGGCCAGACAAGUCUGUUGGGAAAUCCACGCGCUCAACACGUGGGCGUCCAGCGGAAACUGUCUGGCUUGGGGCCGGAGGACUCGAGGGGUACGUCCGGGGUAGGAGUGAAAUCCCGUAAUCCUGGACGGACCACCGGUGGCGAAAGCGCCUCGAGAGGACGGACCCGACAGUGAGGGACGAAAGCCAGGGUCUCGAAUCGGAUUAGAAACCCGAGUAGUCC
rnacentral:rRNA from 1 species